rnacentral:rRNA from 1 species
CACUAUGUCCUGUGAUUUGCAAGGGUCUCAUUAACUCAUAUAUAUUAUAUUUUAUUAUCCCACGAUACGGGUAACCCUGGGGAAUUUUCUAGAUCUAACACGCGCAAAAACCCCCCAACUUCCGGAAGGGGUUUAUUAAAAAAAAAAAACACCCCCCCCGGGCGUCUCUGCUUUUUUAAGACAAAAUUAACUUCUCGAAUCGCAGGGCCCUGGGCCGGGUAUACUCCAAUCUCUCCCCUACCCUAUCUUUUUUCGAAGGUAGGAGCAAACCCUACCAUGCUCGCGACGGG